rnacentral:lncRNA from 10 species
CCGCCAGCCUUGACCUCCCAAAGUACUGGGAUUACAGGCGUGAGCCACCGCGCCCUGCCUAUAUUUUUAUAUUUACUUUUUUUUUUACUUUUAGGUUUGGUGGUCCAUAUGAAGGUUUGUUACAUAGGUAAACACAUGUCACGGGGGUUUGUUGUACAGAUUAUUUCAUCACCCAGGUAUUAGGCCCAGUACCCAAUAGUUAUCUUUUCUGUUCCUCUCCCUCCUCCCACCCUCCACCCUCAAGUAGACUCCAGUGUCUGUUGUUUCCUUCUUACACAAAUAUCUUUGAAAAUGUAGUAGAGAAUGGAAGUUGUCACAGGAUGGUCAAAAACAUGAGACCCCUGGAGAAUUGUCUCCCAACAAAGUAAGAGUGUGGGUUAAGAUGAGUAAAGGAAUACUGACAGAUGAAUGUCUGAUUUAAGUCAAAAGUAGAAGAGAAAGCCAAUGUCCAAAACAUUAGAACUAAAGGUCAAAAGAACUAGAGGAUAAAGAUAAUAUUAGGGUCACAGAGCUAAGAAAUUUGGCUUUUGCAGACUCAGAGAAAGCCAGGUGCAGCAAUGGAGUUAUCCUAAAACCCUGAUUGUUAUUUGUUGCUGGUGUGGGUCAGGCUGGCUUAUAACAUCAAGAACAGCAUGUACAUUUUUUGCCUCCAUCUGUGUGGUGGAACUUGAAAAAUUACAUACAUUUAUUUGUGAAGAAGGUGUGGGAGCAUGUAGAGAUCAGGCAGAGCUCAGUUUAGGAUUCAACCAAGAGUUCAACUUUACUCCAUUGCCUCGUUAUUAAGGACUUAACCUCUGACAUUGCCUUAGUGAGAGAGCAUUUAUCUAUGAUGCUGCCUUCAAGGAGCGAGCUCUUCUUUGGUGUUAAUUACUAGCAUAGCAGCAGGGCCUUUCAUAGACUUCUAAGAGGGACGAACACUGUGGUCAUCAGGCUUUAAAAUAUUUUCCCCAUCAAGACUUACUAUGUAUGAUAUAGAUAACUUCUCUGCCUAUGCUCACAGGUACUUCCUUGGAGAACAGAAGCCAAAUUCUGUCAUUGUUUGUCUCAGCCCUCCCCACAGGGCAGUGAUGAGAGUACAAAUGUGGGACCUGACCCAAGAGUGACACCCUAGAACCUUAAUGAGAGAAGAUAGGGAAUCCACAGUGAAGAUGCAUUAUUUCAGAGGAGACUGGAUCAAUAUUCCUUCUUCAACCUGUCACACAGAGAAGAGAGGCGCCUCUGUUUUCCCAUCAGGGAUGAGUACAGGAAACGGCAGCAUAUUUUCCACUUAAAAACUGGCUAGGGAAUAUACAACCACUUCCAGCCAUUCUGUAUGCAGGUGAAUCUUGGUUUCCCUGUGGGCAAUGAUGUAUGGAACUUACGAACAAUAUGGGCAGAUCAACAAACAGCACAUAAAGGGGACGAGACACACACACACAGAGACAGAGAGAGAGAGAGAGUGCAAAGCAAGGCAAGGCAAGAGGAGUAAGAAGGUCAUUAUGCAAUCUUUCUCGGACUCAGCUCUCUAAUUCUUAAGCCACAGCAAAAGAGAUGAAAUUCUGCCUGAACUAUUAUCCUCCAUUUACAGUUAAGUAAACUGAGGCCCUGGAAAAUGAGGCACUUUAGUUUUAAAAGCUGCUAAAGUCUAUUGCUACAUCAUGCAGACAAUGAACAAUGAGUGUUGGAGAAUGUCCUUUCCUGCCUCUUAAUCAUUCUGAAUCGAAACUAAUGAUAAACUUCAAUCAAUGACAUUGAGGGGAUGGGUAAGGGAUAAUAUAAAGAGUCCUCUAUGCAUGCUAAUUUGUUGUUACAUGUGACCUAAGAUGGUGGUUUCUUGCUUUAAAGACCUUACUAAUCAUUACAGAGUAUUCUUAUUCUCUGCUCAAUAAUUUGGAAAUGACUUAGGUCCUGUAACUCUCUGUGUCUCUAAUUUCUGAUCUCUGUAUUCAUCCAUGCUGUCUUUAGUACAAGUAUUUAUUUAUGUAGACUUCCCUUGUUCUGUUCUUUAUGUUACAUGGAGGAAAUUCUGAGAAACUUCAUCAGUAGCACUAUGAAACUCCUUCCAUACAGAACAGUCUAGAACAGGCAUUGUCAAACUGGGCUAAAUCUGUUCUGCCAUCUGCUUUUCUAAAGAAAAUGUUGUUGGAACACAACCACGUUCAUUCAUUUCUGUAUUGUCUGUGGCAGAGAUUGACCAUCACGAUAGAGACCAUAUGAGUUGAAAAGCCUAAAACAUUUAUUACCUGGCUCUGAACAGAAAAUACUUGCUGACUUCUGGUCUGGAACAGCACUGUGUAUAUACCUCAGGUUUAAUACUGGAAGUCUCCAUUAGUCCUUCUUCAGAGGUGACUAGAGUGCACAGUCAUAAUGACAGGGCCCCAAGGACUUCUCUAACUCACACUCCCUGUCCAGUCACCUUCACUGCAACAACCAUCUUACCAAGGGGUGCUGUCACUGCUCCUGUCCACUUUCUGGCCGUCAGAUGCCUCGAGAGUUCUUCUUGCCCUUGAUAAGGAAUAAACUUGUCAGUUGCAUGUGGCAGUUUUUCAACUGAUUUGGGAGAUGAUGCAGAUUUUGCUAUUUCUUAACUUUCAAUUGUUGUGUUUUCUGGUUCUCAGUAGGGAGACAUGAAGAAAAUUGCUGAUUCCCUUCAGUUAAAUAACAGUUUAGAUUAAACCAGCAAGAACUUUUGCUCUUUAAUAAAAUGCAAAGUUACCAUGCCUUUCUCCGGCUCGAUCAUUCAUGCAUCAUAAUGUGAAUGGAGUUGUAGGAGUAUGAUGUUUAUUCUCACAAUAGGUUUAAUUCUGAGUAAAAGCACUAAUUGAAAAAUCAGAAGAAUUUUGUCUUUAAGAGCUCAUGUUAAUGCAUGCAUUCAUCCAUCUGAAUUUUGAUGAUCUCGGUUUUUUUCUGUGUAAAUUCUUAUCAGAAUGGAGUGACUCUAAAUUGCGCCCUGCUUGUAACUUUCAUGUAUGAUUUGCUCCCUUGUUGUUUACCAGCCCUUUUAAAACUACAUAGUAGAAAGAAAAUAUUUUAAACAAUGUCACAUCCAGACGGUGAUUUCUCAAAGCUUCAAAUGCAGGCUUUAAUCCUUCUCCCAGGUUAGCCAGACUCAGGCUGCUGCACAGCACUGGGGCUUUUCAGACACAUUAAGGAUUCUGGACAGGCUUCACCCCAGACACCCUUGUGCUC